UCAGACGUGUUGUCAGAUGCACAGUAUCAUCAGCGUCUCUGUCCCUGUUUGGUCAAAGGAGAGAACUCGACGAAGAAAUCAUUGGGGCAUGCACUAAACAUCCACCUUUUCAACUAGAGGUCUGGUCACAAAGGUAUGACAUGAUAUUGUUUCAUGGUUUUAUUGAUAAUUCAUUCAAUUGACAUAACAAAUCUGUACAACUUUGGAAUACAUUAUACAGUAUAAUGUAUUGAUAUUUCCAAAUGUAAUGGCUCUUGUUGUUUCUAUUGGAUUUGUGGUUUCACAAAAAGUAUCAAUGGAACUGUUAUCUACCCUAAACAAACAUUUGAUAGUGGGAAGUCCUGGAUACUCCACUGGUUACAGUCAAGUACACCAAAACAAAAAAGGCUCGUCGUCUGCAACUGUGAGAGAAGGCCCCCCACUUAGUGUAUUUGACAAGCUGAGUUGGACACUCAGUAUGACAGGGUGUCAGUUUGUCAAAUACCCCAAGUGAGGGGUCACUUGUCUGCUGAGCAUCUCCCACCAGACUGACUUCAAAGAAGAUCACUUCAUAAACCUUCAAGUGACUUUCACUGUUACCCCGUUAGGCUUUCUCUGGCAAAACAUUUGAUUGUGUGAAAAUGUACUGUGAUGGUGUACAUGAUCUUGCACUGUCACUAAUGUCUCAUGUAUUUGUGUAAGUUUGUAUGAUGACACUUGGUACACUGUGUAACAAAUGUGUGUGUCCCUGUAUUAAAUAAUGUACUGGGUAAA